GUCGACGGCAGCCGGGAGCAUCCUGGUGGCGAGUGGCGAACGGGCGAGUAAUACAUCGGAACGUGCCCAAUCGUGGGGGAUAACGCAGCGAAAGCUGUGCUAAUACCGCAUACGAUCUACGGAUGAAAGCAGGGGACCGCAAGGCCUUGCGCGAAUGGAGCGGCCGAUGGCAGAUUAGGUAGUUGGUGAGGUAAAGGCUCACCAAGCCUUCGAUCUGUAGCUGGUCUGAGAGGACGACCAGCCACACUGGGACUGAGACACGGCCCAGACUCCUACGGGAGGCAGCAGUGGGGAAUUUUGGACAAUGGGCGAAAGCCUGAUCCAGCAAUGCCGCGUGCAGGAUGAAGGCCUUCGGGUUGUAAACUGCUUUUGUACGGAACGAAACGGUUCUUUCUAAUAAAGAGGGCUAAUGACGGUACCGUAUGAAUAUGCACCGGCUAAC
rnacentral:rRNA from 1 species